UACGUAGGGACCAAGCGUUGUUCGGAUUUACUGGGCGUAAAGGGCGCGUAGGCGGCGUGGUAAGUCACUUGUGAAAUCUCUGAGCUUGACUCAGAACGGUCAAGUGAUACUGCUGUGCUAGAGUGCAGAAGGGGCAAUCGGAAUUCUUGGUGUAGCGGUGAAAUGCGUAGAUAUCAAGAGGAACACCUGAGGUGAAGACGGGUUGCUGGGCUGACACUGACGCUGAGGCGCGAAAGCCAGGGGAGCAAACGGG
rnacentral:rRNA from 1 species